CCUACGGGUGGCAGCAGUGGGGAAUUGUUCACAAUGGGCGCAAGCCUGAUGACGCAACGCCGCGUGGAGGAUGAAGGUCUUCGGAUUGUAAACUCCUGUUGCCCGGGACGAAAUGCUUUGACCUAACACGUCAAAGUUUGACGGUACCGGGUGAGGAAGCCCCGGCUAACUCUGUGCCAGCAGCCGCGGUAAUACAGAGGGGGCAAGCGUUGUUCGGAAUUACUGGGCGUAAAGGGCGCGUAGGUGGCCUUCUAAGUCGAACGUGAAAUCCCUGGGCUCAACCCAGGAACUGCGUCCGAGACUGGGAGGCUUGAAUCCGGGAGAGGGAUGCGGAAUUCCAGGUGUAGCGGUGAAAUGCGUAGAUAUCUGGAGGAACACCGGUGGCGAAGGCGGCAUCCUGGACCGGGAUUGACACUGAGGCGCGAAAGCCAGGGGAGCAAACGGGAUUAGAUACCCGUGUAGUC
rnacentral:rRNA from 1 species